AACGAACGCUGGCGGCAUGCCUAACACAUGCAAGUCGAACGAGAUCUUCGGGUCUAGUGGCGCACGGGUGCGUAACGCGUGGGAAUCUGCCCUUUGGUUCGGAAUAACAGUUGGAAACGACUGCUAAUACCGGAUGAUGACGAAAGUCCAAAGAUUUAUCGCCAGAGGAUGAGCCCGCGUAGGAUUAGCUAGUUGGUGGGGUAAAGGCGCACCAAGGCGACGAUCCUUAGCUGGUCUGAGAGGAUGAUCAGCCACACUGGAACUGCGACACGGCGCAGACUCCUACGGGAGGCGGCAGUGGGGAAGAGUGGACAAUGGGCGAAAGCCUGAUCCAUCAAUGCCGCGUGAGUGAUGAAGGCCUUAGGGUUGUAAAGCUCUUUUACCCGGGAUGAUAAUGACAGUACCGGGAGAAUAAGCUCCGGCUAACUCCGUGCCAGCCGCCGCGGUAG
rnacentral:rRNA from 1 species